GACGAACGCUGGCGGCGUGCUUAACACAUGCAAGUCGAACGGAAAGGCCCUGCUUUUGUGGGGUGCUCGAGUGGCGAACGGGUGAGUAACACGUGAGUAACCUGCCCUUGACUUUGGGAUAACUUCAGGAAACUGGGGCUAAUACCGGAUAGGAGCUCCUGCUGCAUGGUGGGGGUUGGAAAGUUUCGGCGGUUGGGGAUGGACUCGCGGCUUAUCAGCUUGUUGGUGGGGUAGUGGCUUACCAAGGCUUUGACGGGUAGCCGGCCUGAGAGGGUGACCGGCCACAUUGGGACUGAGAUACGGCCCAGACUCCUACGGGAGGCAGCAGUGGGGAAUAUUGCACAAUGGGCGGAAGCCUGAUGCAGCAACGCCGCGUGCGGGAUGACGGCCUUCGGGUUGUAAACCGCUUUCGCCUGUGACGAAGCGUGAGUGACGGUAAUGGGUAAAGAAGCACCGGCUAACUACGUGCCAGCAGCCGCGGUGAUACGUAGGGUGCGAGCGUUGUCCGGAUUUAUUGGGCGUAAAGGGCUCGUAGGUGGUUGAUCGCGUCGGAAGUGUAAUCUUGGGGCUUAACCCUGAGCGUGCUUUCGAUACGGGUUGACUUGAGGAAGGUAGGGGAGAAUGGAAUUCCUGGUGGAGCGGUGGAAUGCGCAGAUAUCAGGAGGAACACCAGUGGCGAAGGCGGUUCUCUGGGCCUUUCCUGACGCUGAGGAGCGAAAGCGUGGGGAGCGAACAGGCUUAGAUACCCUGGUAGUCCACGCUGUAAACGGUGGGUACUAGGUGUGGGGUCCAUUCCACGGGUUCCGUGCCGUAGCUAACGCUUUAAGUACCCCGCCUGGGGAGUACGGCCGCAAGGCUAAAACUCAAAGGAAUUGACGGGGCCCUGCACAAGCGGCGGAGCAUGCGGAUUAAUUCGAUGCAACGCGUAGAACCUUACCUGGGUUUGACAUGGAUCGGGAGUGCUCAGAGAUGGGUGUGCCUCUUUUGGGGUCGGUUCACAGGUGGUGCAUGGCUGUCGUCAGCUCGUGUCGUGAGAUGUUGGGUUAAGUCCCGCAACGAGCGCAACCCUUGUUCACUGUUGCCAGCACGUUAUGGUGGGGACUCAGUGGAGACCGCCGGGGUCAACUCGGAGGAAGGUGGGGAUGACGUCAAGUCAUCAUGCCCCUUAUGUCCAGGGCUUCACGCAUGCUACAAUGGCUGGUACAGAGAGUGGCGAGCCUGUGAGGGUGAGCGAAUCUCGGAAAGCCGGUCUCAGUUCGGGUUGGGGUCUGCAACUCGACCUCAUGAAGUCGGGGUCGCUAGUAAUCGCAGAUCAGCAACGCUGCGGUGAAUACGUUCCCGGG
rnacentral:rRNA from 1 species